AUGGCAAUUCGAGAGGCUCUAGCGUUGGCGGAAGAUCUUUAUGUGCAGAAGAUUCAGGUGGCCUCGGACUGUAAGACAGUGGUGGACGGAAUUAAGCAGGGCUCUUUUGCGGAAUAUGGUGCAAUAGUACAUGAAAUCAAAGAACAUUCGACUGUGCUUUCAUCUUGUAAUAUAGUCCAUGAGUAUAGGAGCUCGAAUACCAAGGCUCACAAUCUCGCUAAGCAUGCUUUAACACUCGGGUUUGGCCGUCAUGUUUGGUUUGGUCAUCCCGAUGAUCUGUUACUUUUACCUGUAAAUAUUGUGGUGAGUUAA
rnacentral:rRNA from 1 species